ensembl:snRNA U6 U6 spliceosomal RNA
GUGCUCACUUCGGCAGCACAUACGCUAAAAUUGGAACGAUACAGAGAAGAUUACCAUGGUCCCCGCACAAGGAUGACAUGCAAAUUCAUGAAUCCGUCCAUAUUUUU